rnacentral:lncRNA from 1 species
GCCCGAACCUUGGCGAGGGGUCUGAGGGUGACAAACCGCUCAAUGCCAACCCCCCUGCUGGUAGUGGGUUCGAGGGGAUGGAGCCCCCGAAAGCGAUCGAGUUAUCGGGAAUGACAUACCAUUCCUGUCAGUAAAAAAUCAUUGAUAGUAACAUACUUUUGAAUCUAAAUGGUAUAUUUUUUAUGUUUAAUUUUGAGAACUUAUUCAUCGUGUUAAUUGGAAGCUAACCAAACGGACAUUGGUUUUAGAGAAAACGUUCAAACCAAUAUUACUUUCAAAUUGUUUAAAGUCGUGAGUGAGCAUACAAUCGACAAAAGCACGAAAAAAAAAUAUUUCUUAGAGAUGCAAUAUAAAAAAAUUCUGGAACACGAUUUCUUUCCACAAGAAGUGAAUCAAUUUACCAGUCUUUUCCAGGAAUUUAAAAAAAUCAAAAACUUUCUUUAUUAUAUUUUUUCUAUCUAGAUUUUAACGUGUGCCAAUAUAUCACAUUUUAUGAAGGUUUAUAAAUUUAGCAUGAAAAACAAUUAAUUGCGCAAAGAAAAGUCCAGCUCAGUAAAGAACAGAAAAAUGAACGAAAACAGACAUUAAUAAUCAUAGAAAAAACUUCUUCAAAUGUCAUAAAAGCGAUGAAGUUCGACAAGUAUUAAUGUAAUGAGAAUAUAAAAAAAUAAGCCCAAACUGUGACCACUUAUUAAUUGCAGAAAGAAAUACAUUUUUAUCCGUAAAAUGUAGGGGAAAUUAAAGAAAUAAUUGCAUUAUUAUAUUGCACUGGAUACUCUUUUGAUCAUAAACAGUUUUUUUUAACAGAGAGUCAUUCAAAAAACUUUGUUCACAUUCGGAACCUAAAUAUUGACGGCGCUGACGACGCUAUGCCGUCUCGCUUUUGCGACAUAGUCGCAUGCUCGACAACAAUGCAAACCGCAUAUCGAAUCUCAGCAGAUAAUGAAUUGCUUUAAAUAUAAGAAAAGUACGCAGAAUUCACAGUAGAUUCAGACUUUUACAGAAAAUUGAAACAAAUUUAUGAAAUGAACUAUUUGAUUAAAGUAAAUUUAGUCCCUUUUUAUUGAAAAUUACAAUCCAUUGAAGAGAGAAGCACAAGGCUGAUGUGCUUUUGACCAGUUUUUCUUAUUAUAUUUAGAUAAAAACAAAAUAUUUCAAAAUUCAAGUGUACGCCCGGGCGUUUUGACGUAAACGUAGCUACGCUCAUGAGCUAUAAAAAUCAUUUUAAACAGUUAAAACUAAUAUAAUUAAUAUAUAAUAAUAAGCACUUUAAAAGGCAAUUAAAACUGUGUCCACUUUUAACACGUGUUAUCAAGUUUGGACGUCAACUUUAUAUAUAAGCUAUGAAUAAACACUUGUAUGAUUUAUUUACUUUUAGUAUACGUUAUAUACCAGUAGCAUAAAUGUCCGCCAUGACUUUGAAUCGUUUAUUUCUAUUCUAUAUAUUUGGAUAUUUUCUUAUUAAUCUUCCCAAUCUUUUUGCUGUCAGUUGGCGUCCUUCGUGCACACAUUCUUCUCUGAAACUACUUGGAAGAAUAAAACCGAACUGAGCAACAAUCAUCUUUAGGGUAUAUAGUUUAAGGUGUAAAUGUGAUCCAGCCUGCCAACAUUGCCGCCAUACCAAAAAUUAGAACAUAUGGGUAAAAUCACAGGGACUCGGUUUGCAGAUUUUUUGUAUGCCCUAUUUAUGGGCAUUAUGUUUUUGGUCUGUGCAUCCGUUUGUCUGUUCGUUCGUUCAUUUGGUUCCGUCUGUCUCGCUUCAGGUUAAAGUUUUUUGUCGAGGUAGUUUUUGGAAAGAUUGGAAAUUGUUCUAAAUCUUUCCUUAGGCACUGGCCUCCCUAACAACACGACAGGUUAGCUACUAUUACUAAAUGUAUUCACCCUGAAAUAUAGUUCCCUAUAGUUCUCAUAUAUGUGCACAUAAUAUACAUAUAAACUGUGAAGAAAUGGGUAUAUUUUUGGAGCAGUUCGUUGAAGAAUGCUUGUCUUGUAUGUGUGUUGAUGUGCAGGCUUUUUUUUUAAAAACAUUUUGACUAUGUAAUUGAGUAUUGAUACAAUAUCAGAUGAUUGACAACUGUCAUUAUCAUCAAACAAUCAGGGACAAGGUGGACUUUAUUUACAAUGCCCCACCUCAUAAACUGUCAGUCAAAUUGACCACAUUACUUAUCAACCUCAGUCUUACAUAAUUAUACAGACCUUUCAAUAUACAUCUCAUUACACAAAUAUCAAUGAAUAUUUGACCUCUCCAUGUGGAACUUUGUGUGACUGGUUGAUAAGUUCCGUUGGAACUUUUGGGCUAGUUUGUUAGUUCCGGUUUUGACUAAUUUGACGAAAAGGAACUUUCUAACUAGUUGAUAUGUUCCGUUGGAACUUUCCAACUAGUCACUUUGUUCCGGUGGAACUUUUAAACCAGAGGAAGAACAAAGUAACUAGUUAAUAAAUUCCUCCGGUUAGUUCGUUCCGCCCGGAACUUUCCAGCGUCGGAACAAAAGAGCAUAUACAAAUACACAAAUAAUUGAUAUAUAAGGAUGAUAGAUUUAUUUAUUGCCUUUUACUUUUGAUCUACAUUACAAAAGGCACUUUACAACUUCUAAUCUUCAAUGUCAUAUAACCUAUGUUUCAACUUACAAAAUGACCUAAAACAACAUUUUUAGAUUAUUUUUGUUGACACUUUAAAGUUAUUAGCUGUUGGUCUAGAUCUUAUGUCUUACAAGGAUAGUUGGUAUAAACAUUCACUAGAAGAAUUUUCAGCAAUAGUGCUUUAUUGUUUUUUUGUCCCCACCAUACCUUACUAUGAAAUUACUCUUCCAAUCUUUCCAUGAGUGAUUUCCAUCACUUUGAUUGCCCAAUCAACUUGAAACUUAGUACACAUGUUCCCUAUGAUAUGAUCUUUCUAAUUUUAAUACCAAAUAAGAGUUUUUAACCAUGCAUUUUCACGGUCCACUGAACAUAGAAAUGAUAGUGUGGAUGGGGCAUCCGUUUACUAUGGGCACAUUCUUGUUAUGCCCCAUUUAUGGGCAUUAUGUUUUCUGGUCUGUGCGUCCGUUCGUUUGUCCGUCGUACCGUUCGUUCGUCCGUCCAGUUUCAGGUUAAAGUUUUGGGUCGAGGUAGUUUUUGAUGAAGUUGAAGUCCAGUCAACUUGAAACUUUGUAUACAUGUUCCUUAUGAUAUGAUCUUUCUAAUUUUAAUCCAAAAUUAGAGUUUUACCCUUUUUUUUAAAGUCCACUGAACAUAGAAAAGGAUAAUGCGGAUGGGGCAUCCGUGUACUUCGGACACAUUCUUGUUUUUAAUAUGUUUUCGUUUUUCCUGUUUAUUUUUAUUACAUUAUCAACGUUUUUAACAUUGACAUCACUAUUUAUUUGUUUUCUGGCAAUGUGUAAUUUACUAUCCAUAUCCGCAAUACAGUUCCGAAAAUACGGAUUCAACAUACAGAUAUAUACAACACCGUCACUCAGUGGCGAAGCUGAGUCAUUUUUACGUGUACGCCCGAACCUUGGCGCGGGAUAUGAGGGAUGCCACCCGCUCAAUGUUAAAGCACUUGCUGGUAGUGGGUUCGAAAGGGACUAAGCCCCCGAAAGCUAUCGAGAAUGAGAUACCAUAAUGAUUCCUGUCAGUAAAAAUCAUUGAUAGCAACAUAUUUUUGAAUCUAAAUGGUUAAUUUGUUUUGGUUAAAUUUUGUAAUAUGUUAACUUAUUCAUCGUGUUAAACUGGAAGCUAGCCUAAUGG